AACUACUGUGGAUUCAUUAAUAUUCGUGGGAUACCAAUUUUCGUGGAAUUCGUGGGUUAAUGUUAACCACGAAUUAAGAUAUUCAACGAAAUAGAAAUUUUCUAUACGUUGAUAUGCAGACAUUUGAAAAAUCACGAAAUUAAAUAUUCACGAAAGCAUUAUUUUUCCACAAUCCACGAAAAAUUGGUACCCACGAAAAUAAAUGAAUCCAC
rnacentral:lncRNA from 1 species